CCGCAGUUGUGCCAGUGUCAGCUGGGUUAGGGGCUUUCCGCGGAGCCCGGGAAGUGGGAGGAGGAGAACGAGUUGGAAGAGAAGAAAGAAGAGGAGACGUUCACAGAGGUUCACUUGUCCCUGCACCGGGAGCUGUUUAGAGAGAAAAUUGCAGGCCUCACCCACAGCCUUGACAGCGUAGUUUCUUGGAAUCAAGAGUCAACACUGGGCUAUUUCCAAAGAUUAAAUCUUGAAAGCUCGGUGGGAGGCUGUAGCAGGAGGGCAGAGAUGUCCACACACUCAGAUAUGAAAAAUGGUCUUCCACUAGGAAGUCUUCCUCUUCAGCUAAGGCCCUGGAAGUAGUGAAGAGAAAGGGGCCCUUUCUGACCAUGCUCACAGGGAUGGAUUAAACAGGCCCUAUUUUUGCAAGAAAUGGAGCUGCACAGGGUGGCCAGCUCAUCAUCAGCUGCUCAUGUCACCCUGUUGGGGGCUGUCACCUGUAUGUGGGUCAGGCCCAGCCCAGGGCACGCAGAGUGGAAGCUGCAAUGCUGCCCUCCUUCACUCGCCAAGCAGUAUGUAUUGGGUGUCACCAUGGCCACCUAGACUAUCUGACUCCUCCUUCUAAUCUGCACCAAGGUGCCUUGUAUGGGCAAUGCCAGUACUGACUGUCCCACCCUGUUCCCCAUGCCUGUCCAGAGUUACUGUCCUGACUUUGGGUGAAUUAACAAUGCUCAUGAACUAAUUAUGUUUAAUGUAAAAGAUGAGCUAUUUUAUCUCAAUUUUAGAUAAUUUUAUAGAUGAACAUAAAAAUAUUACCAUUUAUGUGAAGUAUGCAUGUAUAUAUAAAAGUGUGUGUAUAUAUAGAUAUAUAGAUAGUUGGAUAUACAUUUUUAUGUAUCAGAAGUUAGGACAACUUUAAAAAAUAAAAGAAGUCAAGAUGAUUUAAAUUUGGUAACUUUAAAAUAAAAAAAGCUGUUCUGCAGUUUGGAAUCAGUUUUAUAUAUGGAUUUCUGGGCUUCACAGAAAUAUGUACUAUUUGAUUCCAUUUCAGCAGAUAGCCAUGAAGUGCCAGUCGCUGUACUAAACAAUAUGUAUAGAGUAAAGAAAAAUGAUGCAAACACCCUGUGUCUACCUAGUAAUCUAGUAAGGCAGGCAAAUGAUAAGGUCCCAAAUAGAUUUGCAGCUGUAAAUUAUGAUGAGAACUAUGAGAGAAAUGCUAAGAUGGAGAAUAACAAAGCAGAUCUAUUUCAGAUUAUGUGACUGGUAAAAUCCUCAAGUGAAACCCGAGGAGUGAGUUGGAAGGAGUUUAUGAAGUGAGUCCAUUCUGCCAUUUAAAGUAUAGAAGCAUUUGAGUUCAGAAUAAAAUUUGAUGUGUUUAAGAGAAAGUAUAAAAUAAAGCCGAUAACAAAGAAAAGAGAGGCCAGUGGCCAAAUCCAUAGUGUUUUAGUUUGUAAACUGCAAGUAACUAAUGAUGUUACAUCUGUGUAUUUGCCAUUUGCUUUUGCAAGUGUCCUUUCUUCUUUCCUCCCUCAUCCUCAUCCAUCUUUGUCUCUUCCUUUAAAUCCUGGCUCAACGCUCAGUCUUUUCUAGGAAUUUUUCUAGUUGGAACACCCCUUCAGCCAUGGUUCUUCAUUUGCUGAGUAUGUGUGUACUAUGUUUAUUUUCCUAUGUGUUUUGUUGAUAACAUCAGCCUUCACUCUCAUAUGUGUGAGUUGAGUAUCCAUGGAAUUGUAAAUGCAGGGGAUCACAAGGGCAGGAAUUACAUUUCCUUCUCUGGUCUGGCUAAGUCUAGUUGAGUCUCACUGUAUGGUGGCCAACCUCUCAAUAAAUGCUGGUACCUGGGUGAUCUUGUUUGACUUGACGUUUUUUAAAGGUUUAAAGAGGAAGAAAUACAUAUAUUAUAAAAACCUUUCAUUGUUAAGCAGAUGGGAACACCCAGUGCACCAUCCCGAAGGGAGUUCAGGAGACCUUCGCACUGCAGUGUGAUACCAUGGAGCUUGAAGGGCAGCCGACAAACUCAAAGAAUAAAUAUACAUCUUUUAAAAAUUAAAGAUUGGUUGUAGUUUUAGCCUACCCACACAUACCAGCUGCUGAUAGGAGUUUAUCCAUAGUUCUUCAGUCUUUCUUUCCAAAGUCAGCACUUGCUGUGUGCCAGAACCUGCUCUGGGUGCUGGGGAUAGAGCGGUGAACAAAACUUCUCUCAUGGAACUAGUUUUCCUGGAGGGGCGAGAGAAUAAGUUGUUACUGAGUGUGGCUGAUAGCAGUUAGUGCUGUCAGAAGAGGAAUCUUAGGGAAAGGUACAGGGGUUGGGAGAAAUACAGUAGUACCUCAGUACUUAUUUAUUCUAGGAAUGCAAUGAGCACCAAAAAUGACAAGAACCAAGCACAUUGUUUUGGCUGGAAAGGGUAAUGAGUCACAUGGCAUAUGACACUGACAAGUUCUAGCUUGCAAGGCAAGUAUCAAUCAAAACUAGGACAGAAAGGGGCCAGGGAUUUAGCUCAGUGGCUCUGGUGCCUCCCUUGCAAGUGUAAGGUCCCAAGUUCGAUCUCUGGUACAAAAAAACCCCAAACAAACUAGGACAGAAGUUUUGUGUCAAAAUGCGUCCAGUACCAAAUUCCAUGAGUCUUAAAGCAAUCAUUUAUAAACAUUGCCAAGAAAGGUGUCUACUGAGUAGACAUUUGGGCAUACAUGAAGCAAGCGAGCAGGCAGAUAUCUGUAAGCACAGGGAGCAGCAAGUCAGGCUAAGAAGAAAGCAUGCUUGGUAUGUUCAAGGAUUAGCAAAGAGACACACAUGGCUGGAACAGGAUGGGUGACCAAGAAAAUGCCAAGAAUGAGGGCAGAGAAGUAGCCAGGGCUCAGAUUGUGUAGGAUCUUGAAAGGUAUACUAUGGACUUGAGCUUUCACUCUGACUGAGAUUGUUUUCAGUUAGGGGUCCUCUGGCUGACCUAUAAACUGUUAACUAUUGUCACAGGGUGAAUUAAAUGGAAGGAAUUGGUUAAAUGGGUAACAAGAAUCACAGGAAGCUGCUCCCAUCCCUAACUUCUGGGGAGCCAGAAAAAUUGAAGAUGGUACAAGCGGAAGCUUCUGGGGAGCCCCUGAGGACCUGUGGAGACACUUGCUGUCCAGUUGCUUCUGGUCCCUGAGGUGCUGAUGUGGAGUUAAUGGUAGGAGGCCUGAGAAAGCUGGGUGCUAGAACCAUGUGAUGUACCUCGAGGGGAAGCAUCCCUUCCUGAGGGUGGCCUAACAAAUACCACAGAACUAGAUGGUUGAAAACAACAGAAAUCCACUGUCUUAUAGGUGUGGAGGUUAAAAAUCUCAAAUUAGGUGAUUUUUUUUUUUUUUUUUUUUUUUUUCCUGAGGGAUAGAAGGGAGACUGUCUGGGCCUUCUAGCUUCUAGUAGCCUCCACCAUUGAUAUGUAGGUAGGGUUCUCUCCACUUCUCCCAUGGAUGUGUCUGCCUUCAUGUGCAAAUUUACCUUGUUGAAAGGACAACAGCCGGAUUAGGAUGCAGCCUAAUGACUUCCUCUUAAUUAGCUGCAAAGCCCCUAUUCCCAAAUAAGGUUAAAUCCACAGAUAUUGGCAAUUAGGACGUCAGCAUCAUCCAUAACACAAGACAAGAGGUUAGAAAGGAACACAUGCUAAGGUAAGGGGAAAAAGCAGGUCACUUCUCUCUUCUUUUUGCCUUCUAGCUUUUUUAUACUAUUUUCUUAAGCUAGGCAUUUCUUUCUUAGUACUGCUUUAGCUAUAUCUCACAGAUUUUGAAAUGUUUUCUCUUCAUUUUCAUUCAGUUGACAUACUUUCUAACUCCCUCUCGAGUUCUUCUUUGACCCAUAGGUUAUUGAGAGCUCUUACUUAGCUUCCAAAUAACUGGGGACUUUUUCUGAACACUUUCUGUCAUUGACUCUAACCCAAUUCCAUUGUAAUUAGGGUGUUGUCUUAGUAUCAACAGAGCUCUGGAGACUGGAGAACCUACCUAAGAUGUGGGGCUGGACUUCCAAAAGAGGCUAUCUUGGUAUUGGCAGGUGACAGUGCCUGCACCUGUAGCCAGCCACAGUACUAUCAGUUUUGAAUACAUUUUCCUUCGAUGGAAUUGGAGGGUGAGCUAAUGGGACCAGAGUGUGUGCAGAAAUAUCACCAAAUCGCAAAAUAAUGGAAAACAGUCUACAUCACGAAUUACCCCAUAAACAGAAUGAUCACAGGCUACCUUAAUCAAGAUAGAGAAUUAAUCCUCAAAGAUACUAAGCUGUGGACAAUUUUGGCAAUUUGACAACCUAGCAAAACACGAAAUGGGCAAGAUAAGUAUAAAACAAAUCUAGUUAGAUCGAAUUAAAAUACAUGAUCAUUUAAACAUUGUCAAGUGAACAUUUAAAGUGUCACCUAGAAAUGUUCUGAAGAAAAUACUAUAUUAUAAAAGUCUUUAUUUUGUAGCUUAAAAUGUGGAUUUGCAAGUAUAUUUGGCUGUUUGGUCUGGAAGAGCACAUAUAUUUCUGAACAUGUGUUCUGACAAACUAAAACAAAAAAAAUUAGCCUUUAAAAUUUUGGACCAAAGAAAUUGUUAAAUUUAUGGCAACACAAUGUCUGAUUUCAUACAAUAUGAUAUAGUUUAAAAUUUAUUUGUAUGAUGUGGUUCAAGAUAAGAAAUUCUGCCUUAUUCUAAAAUUCAUGAAUUGCACAUAAUUCUUUAACUUUCAAAAUGUGUGGUUUACUCAUAAAGAAAUUCUUCAGUUAUUUUGUUGGAAAGAGGUCAAAAUUUUAUGUUCUGCCCAAGGGCAUGAAGUUCUGCAAACACUUUCAUUUAUUAAUGCUUGCAAACACCUGGGAAUUUUGUAGACAUUACAGAUAUUUUUAUGUGGAUAAAUUCAGAAUAAAUGUUGAAUAUAUGGGAAGGCUUUCUAACUUUAAAAUCUAUUUGUGUUUCACAAGACCAGAAAUUCAUUGAGAUUCAAGCUUUUGAUGUUUGGGUUGGUUUACCUUACAUUAUAUGUGGGUUUUUUUCCUAUUUAAAAUAUCAGAAAAAAAUAUAUAUUCAAACAUGACAUAGUUCUCAACGUACAUUUGGAUAGUUAUAAAUUAUCCUAUGUUAGGAUUCCAUAUCCUUUAAGAUGGAAUUUUUAUCUUCUUGUCAAAGGGAUGAAGAAUUACAUUGUGAGUUUUUCCUUUUGAGUAUAAACCAAAAAUAUAUUAAGCCAGACUUUAUUUUUCUUGUAUUUGUGUAAAAUUAUAAGCAUGUUAGGGAAAAUGGUACAAAAACAAGGUAUAUGUUACUCUUAAUACCAGAGCAAAGUUUCUCUACAGUUCUUUUGAUUUUUGUUUUGUUUUUGUUUUUUGGUACUGGGGAUCGAACUCGGGAUCUUUCUACAGUUCUUUUGAGAAAAUCGGUUUAGAGAUCUGAUUCCAUAACAAUUAGCAACUCUUCAAAAGUAUAUUGAUGCCUAUCAUCAUUCAUAAUGAAUGAUGAAAGAUUUUUAAUUUUAUAUUCUAAUUUUUAAAAAGAGCACUGUCAAAAGCGAUGAUUUGAGGAAAAAAAUAGAAAAAUAAUUCUGUCCUAAUUACCAUAUAUGCAUUAUUUAUUGCUUUUAAAAGAUCUCUUAAAAUGAUUAAUAAGCACCUGCAGAAUAAUUUUAUUUUCUUCUUGAAAAAAUAGCCAUCUGAACAUGAGGCCCAGCCCAAAGCCAGCGCUACAGCUGGAGACAUGACAUAGUUCUGAAACAGUCUUUAGUCACAACUGGGAGAAAAAGACCUUUCUAAAAUGUGCCAAUCUUGUGAGGAAUGGAUGUCAAUUUAGUGUCUCCUGGAAAGGGGGAGAAUGAGAUCAUAUUUCUGAAUUUUAGUGUUGCAUUCUGUAAGUUUGUACUCAUGCCUUUUCUCCCUUCUUUACAAUUGGGGUUUUCCACUUCAUUCUUUUGGGACAUAGUGAACUCUCAGUUUCUAUUGUGUUAUUCUACUUACAUGGCUGAUGGCUUCUUUUCUUUGUUCUUGUUUUUCAAUUUCUUCUAAGCACUUUCUCUCUUGAAUCUGUUUAAUCAAUUGUUUUUGUGAAACAAGUUUCUCCAGUGAAAAUCCUGCAGGAAGAACUGUACUUGAGGUUUUACUUUAUCCUAGAUAUAGUGAUGUGUUUUACAGCUAUGAUCUCACUUAAACAUUUGCAGCAACUACAAUGAAAUUUUAUAGAUAAGAAACAGAAACUCAGUGAGAUUAAAAAAACUUCUUAUGGUCAUGUAGCUAGUAAGUCACAGAGCUAUGUAUAAACACAAACAUGUUCAAAGACCAAACUCAAUCUGUUUACUAUGGUGUUUCCAAAGAGCUGGCCUAUGAUGAGUACUUAAUCCUAAACACAGAUGUCUUACUAUUGUUCUCAUGCUCUGAUUAUCAGUCUACUGCUAUAUCUUUCUUUUUUUGUCUCUUAUUAGUGUAUGUCUGUAAUACAUAAUAGUUACGUUCAUUGUGGAGAAUUGGUACAUACAUAUAACAUCUUGAUUGUUUUCAAUCCUUUUAUCUUCUUUUCCCAGAUGCCCCAUCUUCUUUCCUAUUUCCAAAAAAGACUGUCUUCUUGUUUCCUACCACCUUUCCUUUAUCUUAUUUAUUUAUAUUUUAGAUUUCUCAUACAAGAGAAACCAUGUGCUAUUUAACUUUCUGUGUCUUAUUUAAUUUCUUUUUUUUUAAUUCACUCAACAUUAUGGUCUCAACAUCCAUCCAUUUUCCUGCAAAUGACAUGAUUUCACUCUUCUUUAUGGUUAAUAUUCAUAUGUAUCUAUGAAAUACAUUCAUAUGUAUAUAUAUAUAAUUUUCUUUGUCCAUUCAUAUGUUGACAGGCAUCUGGCUGUUUCCAUGGCUUAGCUAUUAUGAAUCAUCAUGCUGUAAACAUGGAUCCUUUGUGUUAUGAAAGCCCCACGUGUGCAUUUCUCUAAAUGAAAGUCUCCUGAACUUAAACCCAUGGACAUUUUAAAGAAAAUGCAGUAAGCCAAUGCUUCCUUGGCUAAAAACGUGUCUGUGCUCUGCAAACAAUGAACAGAACCCAGGAAGGGAGAUGCAGACCGCCUGCUGAGCCAGUCCUAGUUCUCUUCCCUGGAAAUCUUGUCCUUGCACAGAACUUCUGGAAACCAAUAAAAGAAAACUAAUGUGCUACCCAGAGCAGAGAAAAUGGAAAUCUGCUGAGUUAAUAUUGUGGGUCAUAAAAGUCACUCAAAGAGAAUUCUUUCAAUAAGGUGCCUACCAUAGUGGUUAUAUAAUUCUUCCAUGAAACUUACUUUUCUCUUUCUGAAAAGAAGUUUUGUUUUUUCUCUCAAAGAAUAAUGGUACUGCUUAACAUCCCCAGAACACAAUGUGAAUGAGCUUUUAAAAUUUUAUUCUAAUUACAAGAGAAAUAUAUUCUGAGUAUAGAAGAUGAGGAACAUAGAGAAAACCCUGAAGGAAUCAAACAACCCUAUUGUGAGAUAAAACUCAGGUAACAUUUUGGGAUAUUUAACAAUGUCUAUUGCCUUGACGCCAAAAAGUCGGCAUUAUUGUCGAACAUUAUUAUUAUUAAAGUUUGGAUGUAUUUCAUUUGAAUGAUGGCUAUAAAUAAAUUUUAAGCAGAAAGCAAAAAUGACUUUUCUUUUGAUUCCAGGGCCUUCUCAUUAAACUACAUCCUCAAUCCUUUCUUGUUUUCUUAUUUUGAGUCAGAGCCUUGCUAAACUGCCAUGCUGUUUAAAUUGGACUCAAAACAUGCAAUCCUCCUGCCUUACCCUUCCAAAAUAUUGGAAUUACAGGCAUGCAUUGGAAUCACAGGCAUUUAAAUUUUAAAACAGAUACAGCAACACCUGUAAAGAACAGUUGGGCAUUAUGCUCUUGAAAUUUUUGAAAAACUAGAUGCUUAGUUAAUGCUUCCUUUACUUAAAAUAUUUUAGUCUCUGUGUUGGAAUUGCCCUCAAAACUGGUAUAUGAGCCAAAACACAAAAGCAUCUUGUCAUUUUAUAGCCUAAAUGCUUCUUUAAAACCAGUUCUUUUUCUUGUCCUUCCCUACUCCCUCUUUUACAUAUUUGAUUUGUUUUUCAGGUCAUCUUCACCUGGAGAAGCAAAGCAGAGCUAUUUUCAGAUCAGUUGUGAAGAUAGGCUCAGCUUCAGCUAUUUCUACUGAUGGGAAAUGCUAUCUUGCAUAAAUAUUCCAUAAUUAUAUGCUAGUCAUUGUAUCCAGACUGUGCAGUAUGUCUGUUCCUCUCACAUUUGCAGAAGAGCAGCUCAGCAGCUACAAAACUGACAAAUUCAAAAUGUAGUUUUUAGUAACCUAAUGAUGGAGGUAAACUUUUCACCUUCAGCUUUUUCUCCUUUGGAGGUUAGUCAUUUCAAGCACAGAAGUUGCAAGAUUUCUUUGGAAGACUGAAGAUGCAGGGAAGUGCAUCAGCAAGUGUCACUGGCUCAGUCCCAGCUGACAGUGACAGGGAAAGAUGUGAUGUGUAUGGGGUGAAUUAUAGAAUGUCCCUAAUCACGAUGUGCCCUAGUAACCAGUGGAUGUGAUGGUAAGGAACAGGUGAUGAGUUGUAAACUUCUGUCUCCUACUAAUUGUAGAGAUGAGACUGAUAGACACAGGAGACUAGAACACUCUGCAAAAAGAAGCCAUGAGCAUUUGACACUUGUGAUUAUUGCCAUGCUGAAAGUUGCCCAUUCUGGUUCUUUUCUUACAUCUUUGGUUACUUCUAAGUAAAAUUGUAUCACCCGGAUCAGUAAUACUUAUUGAUUUUCCUGAGGAAUGUUCAGUAGUGAAGCUUCUCCCUGCCACGUGCAAAGCGCUGUUACAUGGUCUCCCUGUUCUGUGGUCAGAUGGGAAUGGAGGUAGAAAGAGCUAUGAUUUUAAAUGACAGAAGACUGAAGAUGGAGACUCCCACUUUGUUACUUGCUCUCUCACCCGACAGGAAGGAAACUAUUACUUUUCUUAAGCUUCUUCCUUGGUAAACCAUAUUUACGAAGACUCAGCUUGGUCCUGAAAUGCAGCAGAGACUUGUCAAGCAAAAGUCUAUUCCAGAAGCAGUCACAGCCGAGCUUUACAUCCAUCAUGAGGGCUGCAUCAAAGUAUAAACUCUUCACGAUAUUUUCAAGCGGAUCAAAAUACUUGGAUGAGAAAUGCUGGGAAAUUUUAGAAGGGAAAUGCUACUUGAAGAAUAUUUAAAAUGCUGUUUAUGGAAACAUUUUACAUAUUUGGGGUUAGAAGAAUUUUUUAAAAAAUAAGUUUUAUUGAAGCAUGAUAUGUAUGAAGUCAAAUGCACUCAUGUUAAGCUAUUUAAGCUCAGUGAGUUUUAACAGAUGUAUACAUCUAUACAGCUAUGAUUACAAUCAGAUAUAGACUAUUUCCUUCACUCCCCGAAGUUCCCUUUCCUCCUCACUCCUUUUCUAAUUAAUUAUCUCCCUGUUCUGUGCUCCAGGCAAAACUGGUCUGCUUUCUGUCAUUGUAAAUCAAUGUCUUUUUUAGAACAGUAUAUUUAAGUAAAAUCAAAGAAUACCUGCUCUUUUGCGUCUGACUUUUUUCAUUUAGUAUAAUGUUUUUGAGAUUCACCUGACCUCUGUAUUAUCAAAAGUUAUUGCUGGGUAGUAUUUAAUUAUAUGGAUUUAUGAUAGUUUAUUCACUUGUUGGUGGACUUAGGUUAAUUCAAGUUGUAGCUAUUAUGAAUAGACCUACUCUGAAGAAUCAUACACAAGUCUUUGUGUGGAUGUAUACUUUCAUCCUUUGUGAGUAAAUACUUGAGUGUGAAUAGCUGAGUCAUGUGAUAAAUCCACAUUUGACUUUUUAUGAAACAUUUCCAAAGUAGUUAUAAAUUUUAUUUCCCCAUCAGCAAUAUGAGAGUUCCAGUUGCUCUUCUACCUGUCACUACUUAUUCUCAGUCCUUUCAUUUUAGCUUUUGCAGUGGGAGUAUAGUAUUAUCUCAUUGUGGUUUUAUUUAUUUAUUUUUUUUGGUAGCGGGGAUCAAACUUGAGACCUUGCGCUUGCGAGGCAGGUGGUGGAACCACUGAGCUAAAUCCCCGGCCCCUCAUUGUGGUUUUAAUGCACACUUCUCUGAUUCUUACAGCUAAGCUGACUUCUUUACAUUAAUUCUAUCCUUAUGAUUUGGCUUAUUUCCCUGAUUAUUUGUCAUCGCAUAGAUUAUGAAUGUUUACUUUUGUUGGCUAGUGUAGAUAAUCUUCCAGUUCAACUUUUUAAAAUGUCUCCA
rnacentral:lncRNA from 1 species